UACGUAGGGUGCGAGCGUUGUCCGGAAUUAUUGGGCGUAAAGAGCUUGUAGGCGGUCUGUCGCGUCUGCUGUGAAAAUCCGGGGCUCAACCCCGGACUUGCAGUGGGGUACGGGCAGACUAGAGUGUGGUAGGGGGAGACUGGAAUUCCUGGUGUAGCGGUGAAAUGCGCAGAUAUCAGGAGGGAACACCGGUGGCGAAGGCGGUUCUCUGGGCA
rnacentral:rRNA from 1 species